GACGAACGCUGGCGGCGUGCUUAACACAUGCAAGUCGAACGGAAAGGCCCUGCUUUUGUGGGGUGCUCGAGUGGCGAACGGGUGAGUAACACGUGAGUAACCUGCCCUUGACUUUGGGAUAACUUCAGGAAACUGGGGCUAAUAUCGGAUAGGAGCUCCUGCUGCAUGGUGGGGGUUGGAAAGUUUCGGCGGUUGGGGAUGGACUCGCGGCUUAUCAGCUUGUUGGUGGGGUAGUGGCUUACCAAGGCUUUGACGGGUAGCCGGCCUGAGAGGGUGACCGGCCACAUUGGGACUGAGAUACGGCCCAGACUCCUACGGGAGGCAGCAGUGGGGAAUAUUGCACAAUGGGCGGAAGCCUGAUACAGCAACGCCGCGUGCGGGAUGACGGCCUGCGGGUUGUAAACCGCUUUCGCCUGUGACGAAGCGUGAGUGACGGUAAUGGGAAAAGAAGCACCGGCUAACUACGUG
rnacentral:rRNA from 1 species